GCUUGACCUUGAUGACUACCUCGCGUUUCCAAUUUUGCCGCGCGGUGGGCGUCGCGUCGCAGCUCGCGAGGCUAGUUAAGUUUUCGGCCCUUUCCUUUUUAUAAACCACCCUCCCCCAACCAGUUUAAAACAUCAACAAACCAUACACACACCUUACAUAAAACACCCACCUAUCCCUAAACACAACACACACACAACCGCCCAAACACACAUGCUCUCCUCUCUCCGAAACCCCACUGCCCCUCCCCUCCACCUCUCACUCACAUCAAAACCCCAUUAAAUCCACUCAUUCAUACACUCAUUCAAUCACUACUGCCGUUAAUUAAAGACCAAUCCUAUUUCCCAAACAUCUAAGAGUAUCGGAAGAAAGGGUCGAAUAAAGUUGCACGAAAAGAGGACAAAAAUACAAGAAAAGAGCACAAAAAUAUAAAAUACCCAAGCCUGGCUAUAGGCCACGUGUAGCCAGCUCUGUAGCCAUAUUGGCCAUGUUAUACGCCUCGCCUCGCAAGGUCCUAGGCACGCUACAAGCCUGGCCUCGCGAGAUCAGGCGCCCGGUGGUCAAAAGUUCGUGAGAUAAAAUACUCCGACCCGGAUUUGGACUCAAGGACCUGGAUCCUAACAUAUAAAUACUCCCUAAAGGAGUUGAGAAAGGGUGAGACAUUAUUUGGAGAAGAAAAAGGCUAUAAAGCACUGUGGAGCAAGGAAUCAAAUGAGUUUUCCCUCUGUUUCUCUUUACUUUGUAGUUAACAUCAUGAUGAUUGUUUAUACAUUUAUGAGUGGCUAAACAUUCUCAUCUAGGGUUUUAUGUAACCUAUUGGAGGAUAAUUUUCUACUGCGUUUAAUAUAAAUUUGCCUUUGACUUUUC